UGGGGUGAAGCUCAGUGGUAGAGCAUGUGCUUAGCAUGUAUGAGGGCCUGGGUUCCAUCCCUAGAACACCAC
rfam:Ictidomys tridecemlineatus contig061709, whole genome shotgun sequence.